rnacentral:rRNA from 1 species
GGCUCAGGACGAACGCUGGCGGCGUGCUUAACACAUGCAAGUCGAACGGUGAAGCCCUUCGGGGUGGAUCAGUGGCGAACGGGUGAGUAACACGUGAGCAACCUGCCCCUGACUCUGGGAUAACCGCCGGAAACGGUGGCUAAUACCGGAUAUGACCUGCGCGGGCAUCUGUGUGGGUGGAAAGUUUUUCGGUUGGGGAUGGGCUCGCGGCCUAUCAGCUUGUUGGUGGGGUGAUGGCCUACCAAGGCGACGACGGGUAGCCGGCCUGAGAGGGCGACCGGCCACACUGGGACUGAGACACGGCCCAGACUCCUACGGGAGGCAGCAGUGGGGAAUAUUGCGCAAUGGGCGAAAGCCUGACGCAGCGACGCCGCGUGGGGGAUGAAGGCCUUCGGGUUGUAAACCUCUUUCAGCAGGGAAGAAGCGAAAGUGACGGUACCUGCAGAAGAAGCACCGGCUAACUACGUGCCAGCAGCCGCGGUAAUACGUAGGGUGCAAGCGUUGUCCGGAAUUAUUGGGCGUAAAGAGCUCGUAGGCGGUUAGUCGCGUCUGCUGUGAAAACUCGGGGCUUAACUCCGGGCCUGCAGUGGGUACGGGCUGACUAGAGUGCGGUAGGGGAGACUGGAAUUCCUGGUGUAGCGGUGAAAUGCGCAGAUAUCAGGAGGAACACCGGUGGCGAAGGCGGGUCUCUGGGCCGUAACUGACGCUGAGGAGCGAAAGCGUGGGGAGCGAACAGGAUUAGAUACCCUGGUAGUCCACGCUGUAAACGUUGGGCGCUAGGUGUGGGGCUCUUUCCACGAGUUCCGCGCCGCAGCUAACGCAUUAAGCGCCCCGCCUGGGGAGUACGGCCGGCAGGCUAAAACU